AAAUUAAUCUAAAUUAUAUUAAUUGCAUAUGAUUUGAUGAUUGGUUUUCAUUUCAUUUAAUAUCUCACCAAGAUUUUGUUCUAGCUUCUACUUCUUUCAUUUUCAUCAACUUUCCCCUUCCAUGCAACCAACUAUGGAGCCAAAUUAAUUGAAACCAGGGUGUUCUGUCAUUUCAAUGAAAACAGUUAAAACAAUAUUAUCAUAGUAUUAUACCAAUCAUAUUCAAGAUAAGCGAUAAAUAUAAAUUUUUUAACCAAUUUAUUUUAAUAUUAUUGGUCCAUGAAAAUUAGAAUGAUUAAAUUUAAACUUUGUGUGGGUCAUUUAGAGAAUUCCUAAAUACGAUUAGUGGUUUAAUUUUUUUAUAGUAAAAAUGAAAAAAGAAAAUAACUUUCAGGUAAAAAAAUAUGAACAAAGAAGAAAAGUGGUCCAACUUUGCCAUGCAACUAGACAUGAGGCUAAAUUAAUUCAAUGAGGGCAAUCUUUUCAUUGCAUUGAUGACGCCCUGGCUCUUUCCUUUUGUGGUUGAUCUAAUUAAACUCUGUGGGUUUGCAUGGACCACAAAAAAUGGGUAAAAGAAAAAUAAAUUUUAAACAAAAAAUGACGAAAAACAAUAUAUAUAAAAAGUAGAUCAAUGAUAGGGAUAGGAGUAUUUAAGUUUUUCCUUUUGUAUUUCAUUCUUAUUUUUUCAUUCCCAUCUACUACUUCUUAUUCUUGAGUUUGGUUUUUACUAUUCCUACAAGACCUCCAAUCGCAACUCGCCACGUGUCCUGCUUUUACUUACUUUUGUUUUUUAUUUUUUUUUUCAAAUUACCAGACUCAAUACGACGUCGUUUCUGAGUUUCUCCUCAUCUCUCAUGAAUCCCUUUCGCGUGUAUCCUCUUCCACCUCCAAUCAACCCACGCUGCCGUACCAUGCUUAGCGUGUUUUCCUUCCCUUUCUACCCACUCUGUCGUCCUUCUUCAUCACCUUCCUUCCAAUCAACCCUAGCUGGCAUACCCUUUCCACCCACUUCUCACCAAUCCAUCAAUUGCGUCCUUUCCGAUUGAUCUGAUGAGGCUUUCCUCUCCGCCGCCGGUUACUGUUUGCCUGACGAUUUGUAUACGGUGGAACCAUUCACGGUUCUACAUCUCAAACUAUCCACUGUUCAUUCGUCAUUCUUUCAAUACUGUGAUUUCGUCAUCAGAUGCGUCGCCUGCCGCCGGUUCACAUUCGUUGAGUACCACACGACAUGGAUUGGUGGAGCCAUAUCAACAGGUUAGCUUCCCUAUAAAUACUCUCAUGGUUUUACUUUUUCCCCAUCCUGCAUAUGUGUUUGUUGCUUUCUCUGUAGACAUUUAUUUGUUACUGGCUUUUCUUUGUGCGCUUUUUUCUAUUGUAGUGGACUACUGGCUUGGCGUGGUAGGAGUAGAUGGAGUUUGAAGCAAUUCUGGCUGGGUUGUGUGUGUUGGCGGUUAAUUGCGUGGGAAUGAAGGGGCAACCUGUAUGCGUUUUUCAGUAGCAGUAGUAAUUUCUUCUCCAGAUUAACUAUCCUCUCUUUGAACAUUCUGCAACAUGAAACGCCCCCUGAAUGGUACGAGUUGAUGAUUUAUGCUCACAAGUUGGUUUAUGUUCUGCCAAAAGGGAUCAAUCUAAGAGUACCAAAGGAGCAAAUGUGAGGUGCAGUUUCAGCAAAUCAACAAAUCUUAUGAUAUGAUAUCCUUCUUCCCCAUUCCUAGCCUGCUCCUCCUAUUUGCAGCCCUAUGACUAUACACUCAACAGAACUCUUGAGCCUUGACUAAAUGCAAGGAAGUAUACCUUCAUACUGAAAAGAAGGCAGCUUCAGUUAGACCUUGGCCAGCCACAUAAACUAAAAAGAAGAAAAAUUAUGUACGCUUUGGAUGUGAUGCUGACUUAGCAUCUGGAUUAUCUUCAGAUGAUGGGCAUAUGAAGCAAAUCAAGUCACCAAAUAACCAAUUUGCAUGUAAAUCAUCAUUGUAUCCUAUCCCUUUUCACUAUUUGUUUUUUUAUUUUCUAGAACUUUUUAAACUGCCAAAUAACUGGCUACUAAAUGGCAUGAUAAUUGCUAUUUAAGUUUGUGUACAAUAUUUAGUGCAGAAUAUGAUCACACAUUGAUGA